rnacentral:rRNA from 1 species
GAUGAACGCUGGCGGCGUGCCUAAUACAUGCAAGUCGAGCGAACAGACGAGGAGCUUGCUCCUCUGAUGUUAGCGGCGGACGGGUGAGUAACACGUGGAUAACCUACCUAUAAGACUGGGAUAACUUCGGGAAACCGGAGCUAAUACCGGAUAACAUGUUGAACCGCAUGGUUCAACAGUGAAAGACGGUCUUGCUGUCACUUAUAGAUGGAUCCGCGCCGCAUUAGCUAGUUGGUAAGGUAACGGCUUACCAAGGCAACGAUGCGUAGCCGACCUGAGAGGGUGAUCGGCCACACUGGAACUGAGACACGGUCCAGACUCCUACGGGAGGCAGCAGUGGGGAAUCUUCCGCAAUGGGCGAAAGCCUGACGGAGCAGCGCCGCGUGAGUGAAGAAGGUCUUCGGAUCGUAAAGCUCUGUUAUUAGGGAAGAACAAAUGUGUAAGUAACUAUGCACGUCUUGACGGUACCUAAUCAGAAAGCCACGGCUAACUACGUG